rnacentral:rRNA from 1 species
AUUGAACGCUGGCGGCAGGCCUAACACAUGCAAGUCGAGCGAGCGGCGGACGGGUGAGUAAUGUAUGGGGACUGCCCGAUAGAGGGGGAUAACUACUGGAAACGGUAGCUAAUACCGCAUACUAUCGGAUAACCCAUAUGGGAUUAGCUAGUAGGUGGGGUAAAGGUUCACCUAGGCGACGAUCUCUAGCUGGUCUGAGAGGAUGAUGAGCCAAACGGGGACGUAGAACUGUCCCAGACUCCUAGGGGGGGAGCAGGGUGGAUUAUGGCACAAUGGGCGAAAGCCUGAUGAAGCCAUGCGGGGGGUAUGAAGAAGGCCUGAGGGUUGUAAAGUACUUUCAGCGGGGAGGCGUUACCCGCAGAAGAAGCACCGGCUAACUCCGUGCCAGCAGCCGCGGUAAUAC